rnacentral:misc_RNA from 1 species
AACAUCGCGCACCUGCGGGAACCUGCGGAGGGAUCAUUACCGAGUUUACAACUCCCAAACCCAAUGUGAACCUUACCUCUUGUUGCUUCGGCGGGAACGCCCCGGCGCCCCCCUCGGGGGCAAGCCCGGAACCAGGCGCCCGCCGGAGACCCCAAACUCUUGUUUUAUAAAUGGUACAUUCUGAGUGUUAAACGCAAAAUAAAUCAAAACUUUCAACAAUGGAUCUCAGAUCGGAAGAGC